rnacentral:rRNA from 1 species
UACGUAGGGUCCGAGCGUUGUCCGGAAUUAUUGGGCGUAAAGGGCUCGUAGGCGGUUUGUCGCGUCGGGAGUGAAAACACGGGGCUUAACCCCGUGCCUGCUUCCGAUACGGGCAGACUAGAGGUAUGCAGGGGAGAACGGAAUUCCUGGUGUAGCGGUGAAAUGCGCAGAUAUCAGGAGGAACACCGGUGGCGAAGGCGGUUCUCUGGGCAUUACCUGACGCUGAGGAGCGAAAGCAUGGGGAGCGAACAGG